rnacentral:rRNA from 1 species
CUCCGGUUGAUCCCGCCGGACCCGACUGCUAUCAGAGUGGGACUAAGCCAUGCGAGUCAACGUAGCAAUACGUGGCAUACGGCUCAGUAACACGUAGUCAACAUGCCCAGGGGACGAGGAUAACCUCGGGAAACUGAGGAUAAACCUCGAUAGGCCAUGAUUUCUGGAAUGAUUCUUGGCUCAAACCUAUAUGGCCCCUGGAUUGGACUGCGGCCGAUCAGGCUGUUGGUGAGGUAAUGGCCCACCAAACCUAUUACCGGUACGGGCUCUGAGAGGAGGAGCCCGGAGAUGGGCACUGAGACAAGGGCCCAGGCCCUAUGGGGCGCAGCAGGCGCGAAACCUCUGCAAUAGGCGAAAGCUUGACAGGGUUACUCUGAGUGAUUUCCGCUAAGGGAAUCUUUUGGCACCUCUAAAAAUGGUGCAGAAUAAGGGGUGGGCAAGUCUGGUGUCAGCCGCCGCGGUAAUACCAGCACCCCGAGUGGUCGGGACGAUUAUUGGGCCUAAAGCAUCCGUAGCCGGUCCUGCAAGUCUUCCGUUAAAUCCAGCUGCUCAACAGAUGAGCUGCGGGAGAUACUACAGGGCUAGGAGGCGGGAGAGGCAAGCGGUACUUUAUGGGUAGGGGUAAAAUCCGCUGAUCCAUAGAAGACCACCAGUGGCGAAGGCGGCUUGCCAGAACGCGCUCGACGGUGAGGGAUGAAAGCUGGGGGAGCAAACCGGAUUAGAUACCCGGGUAGUCCCAGCUGUAAACGAUGCAGACUCGGUGAUGGGUUGGCCUCGCGCCUGCCCAGUGCCGCAGGGAAGCCGUUAAGUUUGCCGCCUGGGAAGUACGGACGCAAGUCUGAAACUUAAAGGAAUUGGCGGGGGAGCA